rnacentral:lncRNA from 1 species
GUAACACUCUAGUACUUGUUUUUUUUUGAUAGGGAUUCACUAUAGAGAUCAGGCUGGCCUUGAACCCACCUCUGUUCAGCCCACCUCUGCCUCCUGAGAACUAGGGUUAAAGGCAUGUACUGUCAAUGUCCAGCUCUCUAAGGCUUUUGAUCAACACCAUGAAAAAACCAAACUCCCGAAUAGAGCUAAUUCUUCCAAUCACUAUAUCACCACGUUCAAUAUCUCGGAAGAAGAGCUCUCUCCGGUCCAUGCUUGGCAUCUCCAUGAACUGCUCUAAGGGUGGCAUGACCGCAUAAAGAUCUGGAAUAAAAUAAAACCAAAU